GUUGUGUCGUACUCUUUGCAAUCCCAUGGACUGUAGCCUGCCAGGCUUCUCCAUCCAUGUGAUUUUCCAGGCAAGAAUAUUGGAGUGAGUUGCCAUUUCCUUCUUCAGAGGAUCUUCCCAACCCAAGGAUCAAACCCGGAUCUCCUCUAUUGCGGACACAUCUUUCCCUUCUGAGUCACUAGGGAAGACUUUCUUUGACUAUGACCUGCAGCAGUUAAACCAGGACCAUGCCCUUGCCCAGCUGUUAUCUCCAGUUAUUCACUUCAGCAGAUCAAUGCAGAGAACUGUUGCCCUGUUAUUAGAAAUGGAAUGGUGAUUUUAAUAGAAGUCUUCUUUGACACCCAAACUCAGAUAGCAUAAUAUGAAAUGUUGUGAUCCUCUAAGUGAUUACUGUGGUUCUGAAAGUCAAGUCUGCAAGAUUUUCUGAAUCCUUUCAUUUUCAUCCAACUGUCUGGUUGUCAUAUUGAUAUUGGGUGUAAUUAAAUGUAAUUAAAUGGCAGUGUUCUGUGCUGCUUUCCACAAGGAGUCUGUUGCCUAGAAUAUAUAGGAAUUGUGAGGCAGCGUGAUGUUUCUGCCGAAUGUGGAAGUGUUUUUAGAUCAGACACAGCAGACAGAGG
rnacentral:lncRNA from 1 species